rnacentral:rRNA from 1 species
GACGAACGCUGGCGGCGUGCUUAACACAUGCAAGUCGAACGCUGAAACCCCUUCGGGGGUGGAUGAGUGGCGAACGGGUGAGUAACACGUGGGUAAUCUGCCUUAUACUCUGGGAUAAGCCUGGGAAACGGGGUCUAAUACCGGAUGUGACCUGUUCUAGCAUGGGGGUGGGUGGGAAGUUCUGGAGGUAUGGGAUGAUCCCGCGGCCUAUCAGCUUGUUGGUGGGGUGAUGGCCUACCAAGGCGACGACGGGUAGCCGGCCUGUGAGGGUGACCGGCCACACUGGGACUGAGACACGGCCCAGACUCCUACGGGAGGCAGCAGUGGGGAAUCUUGCGCAAUGGGCGAAAGCCUGACGCAGCAACGCCGCGUGGGGGAUGACGGCCUUCGGGUUGUAAACCUCUUUCGACAUCGACGAAGGCCCCUUUGGGGUGGACGGUAGGUGUAGAAGAAGCACCGGCUAACUACGUGCCAGCCGCCGCCGUAA